UUAUGGUCCAGUUCACUCCCUCUUCCUCAACAUCCACUUUCUCGUACGCAGUUGUCUCUGGACGACUGUCGAAGGCAGCUCUCCCAUGACCCUCUGGGUCUCGGUCCGAAUCAGCCGGUUGAGCUGAGUCCCUUCGCAUGCGUUUUGAGAGAUCGGCUAGUGCGACCAAAUCCUGAGUGACGGCGAUGGAGAUCGAUAUGGAAAGGAACAACAACCGGAAAAGACCCGCCUCUACUGACUUGCCCCUACAGUGGAGCCAGUGGCAGCUGCUUGAUUCCAUCCUUCCGACGGGGGGAUUUGCGCAUUCGUCUGGUCUAGAGGCUGCAAUACAAACCCGCGUGAUCACCGGGCCUGAAGAUCUUCAUACCUUUGUAGUACACGUGUUGGAGAACACUGGUAGUUUACUUCUUCCUUUUGUCUACACCGCGAGCAAAUCGCCAAGUGCAGACACUUUGUGUAAGCUUGACAGGAUGCUAGACGCGAUGCUUACUAAUGAGGUGGGCCGGAAGGCAUCUGUAGCUCAAGGAUCAGCACUUAUGAGGGUGGCUGCGUCUGUAUUUUCCGAAAUCCCGUUGCUUAAAACGAUGAGAGAUAACUUUUUGAGUUCUGGAGCCGUUUCUUUUCACCAUGCUCCAAUCUUCGGGCUUGUAUGUGGGCUUCUUGGGUUUGAGAGUGAGACAAGUCAGAGAGCCUUCAUGUUCAUUACUUUAAGAGAUGUUAUUUCUGCUGCAACUAGGCUGAAUAUAGUUGGGCCACUGGGAGCUGCUGCGUUGCAGCACCAGAUUGCUCAUGAUGCCGAAGCUAUUACAGAGAAAUGGAGUAACCGUGGUGUUGAAGAAGCGUGCCAAACAGUUCCUUUGCUUGACACUGUGCAGGGAUGCCAUGGCUACUUGUUUUCGAGGCUGUUCUGCUCCUGAUGAUUAUUCGUGCACGUCCAUAACGAUCAAUUCCUUUAUUAUGCUCUCCUGCUGAUAUUGGACGUUGAAUUAGAAAUGUUUGCAUCUUCUUCAGCCAGGAGGAUCCUUGCUGGUGUUUUAUGUCGUAUGCUCCUGUUCGGUGAGGUCGCUAUCGUGUCAAGGAAUCCUUAACAGGAAUGUCGUCUUCCCCACUUGGAGAGUUUUCUGUGGCAGCGGUAACCGGUGACUGUUGAUGGGUGAGUGCUCCAUUUUUGUCUCUGGACUUGCAACACUCGUUUUCUCUUGCACAAUUCGCAAGCUACCAUUCUGUUGCCGGUCUCGGCCAUCGUCUCUCUAUUUGUAACUUGGUUGUCAAGGCAUUGGACGGCGAUCAUUGCAGGACUGACCUCUGUGCGCCCAAAGUGAGACAAUCUCGUUUGCCAGUUGCCUUCGAAUUCGAAUAGUGUGACACGGCCAAAAUGGGUCUGACAUGCAUUUUCCUUGUACUCGGUGGCUUGAUCGAACUGAUCGUCCGCAAUCUCCACAUCGAAUGGCUUGUUCUCCUCGAUCGGAACUGGUGGGUCAAUUUUGUGUUUGGACUGGGAUGAAGCUGCAAUGAGAAAUAGCUAAAGAGAUUCGUGAAGGUCCACCCCGUUAAAUACUCCAUGAAUGAAUGUAUAUUCCUAGCUGGA